UGGGGGAUAUUGCACAAUGGGGGAAACCCGUAGAUGCAGCGACGCCGCGUGAGUGAAGAAGUAUUUCGGUAUGUAAAGCUCUAUCAGCAGGAAAGAUAAUGACGGUACCUGACUAAGAAGCACCGGCUAAAUACGUGCCAGCAGCCGCGGUAAUACGUAUGGUGCAAGCGUUAUCCGGAUUUACUGGGUGUAAAGGGAGCGUAGACGGUCGUGUAAGUCUGAUGUGAAAACCCGGGGCUCAACCUCGGGACUGCAUUGGAAACUAUAUAACUAGAGUGUCGGAGAGGUAAGUGGAAUUCCUAGUGUAGCGGUGAAAUGCGUAGAUAUUAGGAGGAACACCAGUGGCGAAGGCGGCUUACUGGACGAUGACUGACGUUGA
rnacentral:rRNA from 1 species